UGCGUAGGCUGCACGGUAAGUCAGAUGUGAAAUCCCAGGGCUCAACUCUGGAAUUGCAUCCGAUACUGCCGUGCUUGAGGACUGGAGAGGAGACUGGAAUUUACGGUGUAGCGGUGAAAUGCGUUGAUAUCGGAAGGAACGCCGGUGGCGAAAGCGACGGACUGGAUCUCUUCUGACGCUGAGGCGCGAAAGCCAGGGGAGCAAACG
rnacentral:rRNA from 1 species